AUGAUAACCCUUUUUGCAUGCUGCAAGGACUCGUCAAGUCGGGCAGUUGCCGAGGCAGCGUGGGGAAGCGGAGACGCCCACGUCCAAUCAAUCGCCACGCGUCGACCAAGGCCGCAGGCUGUUGGGGCCCGCGGCGCUCCGCACUUGCCCUUUGGCUUCGCCUCGAAGCCAAGUCCGAGCGUGCCUUGGGCCCGGGGGCUACUGUCGGCGUUCUGGGAACGGAGGUCCCCAGACUUGCCUGCCUACGGCCCACGGCGUGGCUCCACCCGCGGCCCAGUUCGACUCGUCUUCACCAGCAAUCACUCAAGACCCUCGCGAGGCGGACGACACAAGACCUCCUCGGGGGCAGCCUCACCAGGCUGGCUCGCGAGGGGCGGAGAGAUCAAGGCAAGGCGAACCUCGCGAGGUUCCAAUGACGUAAGCCAUGACGACCAAGGCCAGGCGGGCGCCAGCGCGCACAGUGUCCUCGUUUCCUCUUUGGUGCUAAGGAGGCAAGCGCAGGCGAGGAGUACCGAGGCAUCAGGCAAAGGUUUCCAUAUCGGUGCAACGAGACCAAGACCAGCAGGACGGCAGGAGGGAGGUCACCGUGGAGCCCAAGACGGCGUCACCACCAGAGCCUUUGGCAGACGAAGACCACCUUUAGUCAGGAUAGCUUGUACUAGCUGCCCCCCUUCAAAUUGA
rnacentral:rRNA from 1 species